GAUGAACGCUGGCGGCGUGCCUAACACAUGCAAGUCGAACGGAAAGACGCGGCCUUUGCCCUGCUGACGAUUGGCGCACGGGUGAGUAAAACAUGUGGAUAACUCCCCUAUUUGGGGGGUAUCACUCGGAAACAGGGGUGAUAACCCCUGAUAACAUCUUGCACCACAGGGGUCACUAGAGACAUACGGCCUUGGGGUCUGCACUUGACGGAUUCGCGCCGGAUUAGCUAGUUGGCGGGGUAACGGCCUACUAAGGGGACGAUGAGUAGCCGGUCGGAGAGGGCGAUCGGCCACACUGGAACUGAGACACGGCCCAGACUCCUACGGGAGGCAGCAGUGGGGAAUGGUCGGCAAUGGGCGAAAGCCUGACGCAGCAAGGCCGCGUGUGUGAAGAAGGCCUUCGGGUCGUAAAGCACGGUUGUGAGGGAAGAACACAUUUGUCCGGAAACGGGCGGGGCUUGACGGUACCGGAUCAAGAAGCAACGGCUAACUACGUG
rnacentral:rRNA from 1 species